UACGGGGGGGGCAAGCGUUGUUCGGAAUUACUGGGCGUAAAGGGCUCGUAGGCGGCCAACUAAGUCCGACGUGAAAUCCCCAGGCUUAACCUGGGAACUGCAUUUGUGACUGCAUGGCUGGAGUGCGGCAGAGGGGGAUGGAAUUCCGCGUGUAGCAGUGAAAUGCGUAGAUAUCAGGAGGAACACCGAUGGCGAAGGCAGGUCUCUGGGCCACUACUGACGCUGAGAAGCGAAAGCAUGGGGAGCGAACAGG
rnacentral:rRNA from 1 species